ACCAAAUAAGCCAUCGCGUCCCAAAGAAGGCACCGUGCCCCCUUCCGUAGGCACGGAGCGACCGGCCCCCCCCCGCCCCGGGGCGGGUUGUGCCCGCGGAGGGCUUGGGGCUGGCUGGGUGGGCAGGGGGCGAUGGUAGCGAGUCCAAGCAGCACCUUCCUAGAAAGAGUUCCAUUAAAAUGCAAAUGAAGGCUCUGCAGAAACUGUCUCUCAAUGCAACGAAGGACUCCGUUUCUUACACUUAAGCAACUCGCUGCCAGGCGGGUGUCCCGCUGCCUCCUGCUCCUCCUGCACAUGCAAUCCUCUGCCUUCCCCUCCCCAUGCGUGUGUUUUCCAGUCCCUGUCACCUGCAGGUGAAAAGCACCGGAGCUGAAAAGCCACAAUCCCUUUUUCCACCCUCAAUGCUCAAGUGUUUCACGUGAACCUCUUCCACCCCCCCAGCGCCUGCAGGUGCUAAAUCCUUCUGUUGUGUAGAGACUGCAAGUGCUCCGCCGGUCCUCAGAAGAGAGGUGGUUUCUCCUCAGAAAGAAGGAAAGAACGUGCAAGGGGUAAAAAGAACAGGAAGAAAAGAGCUGGAGGAGAAAUCAGGCUUGUUCAUGAGAUUUUUGGUGUGCAAAGUGUCACGAACGAGGUGAACAAAGGAGAGGUCAAGAGCACAAAUGCACCUCUGUGAGAUUAAAGACUGUUUCUGGCUCAGAUCAAUGUCCUCUGCACACCACCACGUCACAGGUUUCAUUGAGGAGGAGACCACUGGAGGUCUGGGCUUUAAUCGUAUUUAGCCACUGGGAAAACAGGUAAAUUGCAUAAUCCUGUAGCAUAGGAGUGCUUGGAAUCACCCCAUGUUGCGGUGAGGUAGGAACGGACUGGGGACAAGCAGUAGAGGAAAGCUGCCUCCAUACCACAUCCCAUCUGCAAAACCAUCAGCAAUGCUGAAGUGUUCUCAUCCCAGCUCCCUCUUCAGCUCUGCUCCACCUUGCAUUCAUCGUGCUUGUAGGAGAUGUUAUAUCUGAUAAAUUAAAAUGAUUUCUUGUG